rnacentral:rRNA from 1 species
GAUGAACGCUGGCGGCGUGCCUAAUACAUGCAAGUCGAGCGAACAGACGAGGAGCUUGCUCCUCUGACGUUAGCGGCGGACGGGUGAGUAACACGUGGAUAACCUACCUAUAAGACUGGGAUAACUUCGGGAAACCGGAGCUAAUACCGGAUAAUAUAUUGAACCGCAUGGUUCAAUAGUGAAAGACGCUUUUGCUUUCACUUAUAGAUAGAUCCGCGCCGCAUUAGCUAGUUGGUAAGGUAACGGCUUACCAAGGCGACGAUGCGUAGCCGACCUGAGAGGGGGAUCGGCCACACUGGAACUGAGCCACGGUCCAGACUCCUACGGGAGGCAGCAGUAGGGAACCUUCGGCAAUGGGGGAAAGCCUGACGGAGAAACGCGGCGGGAGGGAUGAAGGUCUUCGGAUCGUAAACCUCUGUUAUUAGGGAAGAACAAAUGUGUAAGUAACUAUGCACGUCUUGACGGUACCUAAUCAGAAAGCCACGGCUAACUACGUG